rnacentral:rRNA from 1 species
UACGUAGGGCGCAAGCGUGAUCCGGAAUUAUUGGGCGUAAAGAGCUCGUAGGCGGUUUGUCGCGUCUGCCGUGAAAGUCCGGGGCUCAACUCCGGAUCUGCGGUGGGUACGGGCAGACUAGAGUGAUGUAGGGGAGACUGGAAUUCCUGGUGUAGCGGUGAAAUGCGCAGAUAUCAGGAGGAACACCGAUGGCGAAGGCAGGUCUCUGGGCAUUAACUGACGCUCAUGCACGAAAGCGUGGGGAGCAAACAGG